rnacentral:tRNA from 1 species
GCCUGGGUGGCUCAGUCGGCUGAGCAUCUGACUUCAGCUCAGGUCAUGAUCUCACAGUCCGUGAGUUCGAGCCCCGCGUUGGGCU